GGGAGGCGGAGAGGGGAGGCAGCCCACCUGGACAUGUGCUCUCUUUGGGGCCGGUGCGCUUUCUCCAGCCCCAGCUUGGUGAAGAUGCCUACAAGCACCAUGACGGCCACCACCCCGCAGAUGAUGUAAACGAUCAGGUGCACCGGGCCCCCUCACCCUUCCCCGACUGAGCCCUCCAGCCAGGCGCGCCUCCAGAUGGUUCAACUCCCUGGGACGAGCCGAGGACCAAGGCAGAGCUGGGAAGGCGGGGUAGCAAGACACUGGGCCCGGGAUAAAGGAUCCUUUACGGAAGAAGUGAAGUGGGUCUGAAGUAUGGUUUCCCCAAACUGCAAGAG